rnacentral:piRNA from 1 species
GCAAGAUGUAGCACUCUGAGCUC